CACAUUCCCUAGAAGGUAAUCAUGCUCUCAAAAUCAGCAUUUCCCCUACAUUUUAACAUAAAUUACUAAAGAGGGUGAGAUCAGUGUUUUUAAAAAAACUCAGUACAAAACACCUGGGGUGAAUAUGGUGUUCCUAAACUUUUUUUCUCCCAUUUUCCUAGUGGUGUACAUAGAAUUGAGUAUGAUCUUCUGAGGUCUCUAAGGGAGCUGGUUGUUAAACAUUAGCAGCCACACCAGUAUUGCUUAACCCCAAGAGGUGAUUCUGAAACCAGCAUUCAGAGUUUCAGUAACUUAUUGAAGGUCACACAGCUACUGAGUAGAGAGUCGGAUUGCAAAACCCAGAUAUUUGGGCCUUAGACUCUGUUCUCAGCUGUUAUGUGUAACAGAGAGGCACUGGGCUUGGGGUCUCCUUGGCAGAGUGGUUUUUAGUAGGUCUGCUUUGAUCUCUGCAGAUGUGGGUUGUUUGGGAAGGGCUAAAGAGGAAGCUCUUAGGCAAGGAUUCAAUACAUAAUAGUCUAAUGUUAUCCCCCCAUCCCCUAAGUAAAAUUUUCUCUCAUCUGUAAAAAGGAUAAACUCAAGUGGCUGCAAGACUAAAUGAGGUGUAUUAAAAACUUUGCAGACAGUGAGGCCUAUACAGACCCUAGGUCCCAGCCAUUAAGUAGAAAGAGGGGAAAGCAGGAGUCAUCCCUGGGGCAGUGAGGUGCCCUGAGGGUCCUCUCCCCGCUCAGCCUGGGUGGUAGGUCUCUCACAAGCCCUCUGGGCUGAAGUCACUAAGGGGUGGCUCUUGAUUUAGGCCUUCUCAGCCAGAAACUGCCCUGUCAGUAAAGACUGACUCAGUGAUGACCUCAGCCUUCAAACACUGCUUCCUCAGGAGGAUCUAAAACAAGGGACAGAAGAUGACCGAGUCCCUAUCUCAUCACCAGUCCCCCAGACGAGAACAUACAGGGAGGAUCCUUAGUGUUCUAGUUGGUGCUGGCAUCGUCCAAGAGGUUCCCUUUCCCAUCCUGGGUUCAGCGCUCCUCUGUGAAGUGAGGGGAUUGAACUACACCCUCCAGCAUCCCUUCCAGGGCCGACCUCUGUGAUGUGAUGGUAUGCCAACAACACAGUUAAAAGAGAAAGAAGGGCCAGAGUGGAGAAUGUGUUGGGGAUUGGGGUGGGCAGAGACCCUGCAGCCAAAGGGUGACACCUCACCUGCCUUAACCCGGGGUGAACUUGCGCCCUGCCGUCUGUCCAUGGUCCUCCCUCGCCCGCCAUUAGCUCCGAGUCACCUCUCAAGGCUCAGGGGCAGAAGUGUGCCGGGGAGGGGGUUGUGUCGAGGAGUUUCCCUUCCCCCAAGGUUCCUGCGAAGCUAGAGGGGGACCCAGAGCAGGAGCGCCCAGCAGGGGGUGCCGGGCUGACCUGUCUGCUCCAGGGGGUCCUCAAGUGCUAGGGGAACACGGGAUGCUCAAGACCAGACCUUUCCUGCACAGCAGUGCUUUCCAGUUUUUGAUCCUAACAGAAAAUGUAGGUUUUUGUAGUAAAAGUGUAAAAGAGUGAAGUUUUUUAUAGUUGAUUCUCUUACCUCUUCCCCUAAAUCCUUUUUCUUUUUUCAAAGCAAAACCAGACCAAGAUGUAUUUCCUUAUUUUGGAAUACGAUUCAUAAUGGCAAGGACAUCUGUGGUUUUUGAAUUACAAUACAAAACACCUGUGUCAGUUCAAUGAUGUAACUGCUAGGAGUCUAUAUAUGGGUUCAGGCAAAUAAGCAUUUCAUUGUGUCAUCUAGUAUAGUCAAUAACAGAUUAAAAUUUACACUAUAUCAUAAUUUAUAUU